rnacentral:tRNA from 1 species
GUCAGGGUGCGCGAACGGUAAACGGAUCGCCUGCUAAGCGAUUUGGCGAAAGCCUUAGUGGGUUCAACUCCCACCCCUGACG